rnacentral:rRNA from 1 species
AAAGCUCGUAGUCCAAUUUUAGGCGGGUGUGUGCGGUCUGGCUUUGCUUAGUACUGCCCAUGCCUGCCUUAUUGCCGGUUACCCGCUCCUGGGCUUAACUGUCCGGGACGGUGAGUCGGCGAGGUUACUUUGAGUAAAUUAGAGUGUUCAAAGCAGGCCUACGCUCUGAAUACACUAGCAUGGGAUAACACGAUAGGACUCUGGCCUAUCCUGUUGGUCUGUAGGACCGGAGUAAUGAUUAAGAGGGACAGUCGGGGGCAUUCGUAUUUCAUUGUCAGAGGUGAAAUUCUUGGAUUUAUGAAAGACGAACUACUGCGAAAGCAUUUGCCAAGGAUGUUUUCAUUGAUCAAGAACGAAAGUUGGGGGCUCGAAGACGAUUAGA